AGAGAAACAGGAGGAGGAGGAGGAGGAGGAACUGAGUGAAUAGAUUUUAUUGGAUUGCGGAUAUGAAAGUGUUUACAAAGGAGAUAUGGGAUACAAUCAGUUUGAUUGUCAUAUUGAAGCCAGAGUUAUUUAUGAGAGAGAACGAAAGAAUCGGUAAAAGAAAUGCCUAUAUUGUUUUCCAAGUUAAGUGUAGGCACAUAGUCAAGCUCUUGGGCUGAGCUGUUGUUUGGAAGUGGAAGUUCCCAUGUUGGUCUAUGAGUUUAUCCUUAAUGGGCUUCAAGGCUAAUUUCCAAGGAUGAAGACCAGUGGUGACUUUGAUAAAGUUCAAGCAACAGCAUCGAUACUACAAAAUGGUGGGGAGACCUUGCAUCCUGUUCCAUCAGAUGCUUAUCAAAUGCUUAGUGGUAGCAGCACUAGUUAUGCUUGAUAAUUUAAUAUGCAAGGUAAAGACGAUGUGGAUGGUACCUAAAGAUAUCAACUUUAAAUAUAUAUUUUUUAAAAAAGUAUUUUCUGCCUGCAAUAAUUAAAAGUGCAAUGCGACAUAGUCAAUCAACUGCAA